CGUCAAGAAUUGGAUUUGACUUAGUGGCGGACGGGUGAGUAAUGCGUGAGCAACCUGCCCUUGAGUGGGGGACAACAGUUGGAAACGACUGCUAAUACCGCAUAACGUAUCCGGGAGGCAUCUCUUGGAUACCAAAGAUUUAUUGCUCAAGGAUGGGCUCACGUCUGAUUAGCUAGUUGGCAGGGUAACGGCCUACCAAGGCGACGAUCAGUAGCCGGACUGAGAGGUUGAACGGCCACAUUGGGACUGAGAUACGGCCCAGACUCCUACGGGAGGCAGCAGUGGGGAAUAUUGGGCAAUGGGCGAAAGCCUGACCCAGCAACGCCGCGUGAAGGAAGAAGGCCUUCGGGUUGUAAACUUCUUUUAUGAGGGACGAAGGACGUGACGGUACCUCAUGAAUAAGCCACGGCUAACUACGUGCCAGCAGCCGCGGUAAUACGUAGGUGGCAAGCGUU
rnacentral:rRNA from 1 species